UUGGAGGGCAAGUCUGGUGCCAGCAGCCGCGGUAAUUCCAGCUCCAAUAGCGUAUAUUAAAGUUGUUGCAGUUAAAAAGCUCGUAGUUGAAUUUCGGGAUCAUCAGGUUGGUCGUGCCACUGGUAUGUACUUGCCUCGGUGGUCCCUCCCUCUUGAAGAACCGUAAUGCCAUUAAUUUGGUGUUGCGGGGAAUCAGGACUGUUACUUUGAAAAAAUUAGAGUGUUUAAAGCAGGCAAACGCUUGAAUACAUUAGCAUGGAAUAAUGAAAUAGGACGUUUGAUCUUAUUUUGUUGGUUUCUAGGAUCGACGUAAUGAUUAAUAGGGAUAGUUGGGGGCAUUAGUAUUCAAUUGUCAGAGGUGAAAUUCUUGGAUUUAUUGAAGACUGACUACUGCGAAAGCAUUUGCCAAGGAUGUUUUCAUUAAUCAAGAACGAAAGUUAGGGGAUCGAAGACGAUCAGAUACCGUCGUAGUCUUAACCAUAAACUAUGCCGACUAGGGAUCGGAUGAUGUUAAUUUUUUAAUGACUCAUUCGGCGCCUUACGGGAAAC
rnacentral:rRNA from 1 species